rnacentral:tRNA from 1 species
GAGGGUAUAGCUCAAGUGGUAGAGCGCGUGCUUAGCAUGCGCAAGGUCCUGGGUUCAACCCCUAGCUCCUCCU